AUUGAACGCUGGCGGCAGGCCUAACACAUGCAAGUCGAGCGGAUGAAGGGAGCUUGCUCCUGGAUUCAGCGGCGGACGGGUGAGUAAGGCCUAGGAAUCUGCCUGGUAGUGGGGGAUAACGUCCGGAAACGGGCGCUAAUACAGCAUACGUCCUGAGGGAGAAAGAGGGGGAUCUUCGGACCUCACGCUAUCAGAUGAGCCUAGGUCGGAUUAGCUAGUUGGUGGGGUAAAGGCCUACCAAGGCGACGAUCCGUAACUGGUCUGAGAGGAUGAUCAGUCACACUGGAACUGAGACCCGGUCCAGACUCCUACGGGAGGCAGAAGUGGGGAAUAUUGGACAAUGGGCGAAAUCCUGCUCCAGCCCUGCCGCGUGUGUGAAGAAGGUCUUCGGAUUGUAAAGCCCUUUAAGUUGGGAGGAAGGGCAGUAAGUUAAUACCUUGCUGUUUUGACGUUACCAACAGAAUAAGCACCGGCUAACUUCGUG
rnacentral:rRNA from 1 species